GAUGAACGCUGUCGGCGUGCCUAAUACAUGCAAGUCGAGCGAACGGACGAGAAGCUUGCUUCUCUGAUGUUAGCGGCGGACGGGUGAGUAACACGUGGAUAACCUACCUAUAAGACUGGGAUAACUUCGGGAAACCGGAGCUAAUACCGGAUGAUAUUUUGAACCGCAUGGUUCAAAAGUGAAAGACGGUCUUGCUGUCACUUAUAGAUGGAUCCGCGCUGCAUUAGCUAGUUGGUAAGGUAACGGCUUACCAAGGCAACGAUGCAUAGCCGACCUGAGAGGGUGAUCGGCCACACUGGAACUGAGACACGGUCCAGACUCCUACGGGAGGCAGCAGUAGGGAAUCUUCCGCAAUGGGCGAAAGCCUGACGGAGCAACGCCGCGUGAGUGAUGAAGGUCUUCGGAUCGUAAAACUCUGUUAUUAGGGAAGAACAUAUGAGUAAGUAACUGUGCACAUCUUGACGGUACCUAAUCAGAAAGCCACGGCUAACUACGUG
rnacentral:rRNA from 1 species